UUGACGGGCCCGCACAAGCAGCGGAGCGUGUGGUUUAAUUCGUUGCUACACGAAGAACCUUACCUGGGUUUGACAUGCAAGUGGUAGGAAGCCGAAAGGUGACCGACCCUUCGGGGAGCUUGCACAGGUGCUGCAUGGCUGUCGUCAGCUCGUGUCGUGAGAUGUUCGGUUAAGUCCGCUAACGAGCGCAACCCUCGCUGUGUGUUAUAUGUGUCACACGGGACUGCCGGUCUUAAGCCGGAGGAAGGUGGGAUGAUGUCAAGUCAGCAUGGCCUUUAUAUCCUGGGCUACACACACGCUACAAUGGCCAACACAAUAGGUUGCUAAGCCGCGAGGUGGCGCCAAUCCAUAAAGUUGGUCUCAGUUCAGAUUGUAGGCUGCAACCCGCCUGCAUGAAGAUGGAGUUGCUAGUAACCGCAGGUCAGUUAUACUGCGGUGAAUACGUUCCCGGGGCUU
rnacentral:rRNA from 1 species